GACGAACGCUGGCGGCGUGCUUAACACAUGCAAGUCGAACGGAAAGGCCCUGCUUUUGUGGGGUGCUCGAGUGGCGAACGGGUGAGUAACACGUGAGUAACCUGCCCUUGACUUUGGUAUAACUUCAGGAAACUGGGGCUAAUACCGUAUAGGAGCUCCUGCUGCAUGGUGGGGGUUGGAAAGUUUCGGCGGUUGGGGAUGGACUCGCGGCUUAUCAGCUUGUUGGUGGGGUAGUGGCUUACCAAGGCUUUGACGGGUAGCCGGCCUGAGAGGGUGACCGGCCACAUUGGGACUGAGAUACGGCCCAGACUCCUACGGGAGGCAGCAGUGGGGAAUAUUGCACAAUGGGCGGAAGCCUGAUGCAGCAACGCCGCGUGCGGGAUGACGGCCUUCGGGUUGUAAACCGCUUUCGCCUGUGACGAAGCGUGAGUGACGGUAAUGGGUAAAGAAGCACCGGCUAACUACGUG
rnacentral:rRNA from 1 species